CACCGGUAUGGAAAAGAUAGGUACUAGUUGACACCAAAAGUAAUGGAAAGAGAGUUCAUGGAUUGCAGAGAAGAAUGGGCAUAGUUGCAAUAGGUGUCUUCUCUUCCUUUUUAUAACCAUUCUCCCAGGGCUGUUAGUUCUGGUAUAUCAGUGCCUUCUUUUCCCCUCCAGUGUUUCCCCCAUCUUGUUUGCAAAAUCUUAAUUAUUAAGUGGAAAUGAAGCAUGGGACAGUUCUUCCUAAGAAAAGAUCUUUGCAACUAUUGUUUUUCUACAUGUUGAGAACAUCUGAAUUUAAAUGAAAUCAUUUUUUAUAACAAAGGCCUAAGAACUAAAGAAAACUAAGUCACUCUUAGGAGAUUAAUAGCCCAUAAUCCUUUUCUACAUCUUACCAGAAAUUGGGUGAUAAUUUAAUUUUGUUUUCUAAUGUAUUAGAAAAGUACGUCAUUUCCUGCCACAGAGGCAUACUGGGUCACAAAAAUGUUCAUUUUUUGAAGCUUUAUUAGAAACCCAACAUAUGAAGAAUUUGUUUAUCACAUGUGUUUCCUAAAGCCAGAUUUUGUUCAGCCAAUUAAUUUUAGGGGGAAAGUAAUUUCUCAUGAACUCGAUCAUCUUUUUUCUCUACUGAAGCCCAGAACACUUUACUUUCAUCAUAUUUAAGAAUCACAAUGAGAAAAGCCUAACCAAAUAUGGAAAAAAAUGGUCAUGUUAAGGUCAAAGUGGGUCAAGCUCCUGAAAGAAUAUUGGCCUCAAGCUGAUAAAGAUAUUUCAUUCAUGGAUGCUUGAACAUGUACCAUAGGGACUAAAGUCUAUAGAGAUACUUAAUUUCUUUGUCUGAGUGAAAUAUGUUAAAACCAGCACCAUUCUGACUCCUGCGGGGAAUAGAUUAUUUACCUGGCUCAUUCCUUGGUUAAUGUGGUUAACCUCCAAUUGUUGUCAUUGAGAAAGAUAACAUAUAAAUCUGUUUCAAAGAGUUUAGUUCUCUGGAGUUUCAUAUAUUGGAGGUUUACUCUGUUUUCAGAUCAUAAUGAAUUAGAACCUGAAAAAUCUACAAUUAGGCCUGCCUCAAAUAAUAUGACCAAAAUCAUGUAAAUGAUGUGAAGAGUUAAAUGGCUUUGGAUGUAAGUAAAAAUCUUGUUUGUUACCUGGAUUCUACCCUAAGAAUUAAACUGUGACCCAAUAUUACUAGCCAGUUAUAAUGAUUAAAACUAUAUUGCUCGCUUCAUUUGUUUCCGGAAACAUAUAAAUAACAACUAUAUCUCUUUCAGAAUAUUACACUAAUUAAACAUAUACUUAGAGGAAUAUAGUAUUUUUCUGUAUUUAUUAAAGGUUCUAUAGGAGUUUUGACUAUUACAUAGGACAUACUAUUUCUAAAAGACUAUGAUGCAUCCUUAAAAUGAUGCUUGCAAUUCCCUAUAUAUUAUAGAAAAAAUACUUUUAUGUAAAAAUAAUACAGCGUUAUUAUGAGAAUUGAUCAUCCUAAUGCUACUUUUUGAGGGCCUAGUAAUCAGUAUUGCAUUGAUAUCUCGGUACCUGUCUUCAUGAGCUUUUUUUUUUUUUUCAGUUUUAUUGAGAAAUAACUGACAUAUCACUGUAUAAGUUUAGACAUACAAAAUGAUGGCUUGAUUUAUAUAUAUUGUGAAAUGAUUACCACAAUAGGUUCAGCUAAGAUCCAUCUUCUCAUACAGAUACAGUAAAAAGAAAAGACAAAGAGAAAAAUGUUCUCCUUGUGAUGAGAACUCAUAGGAUUUACUCUCUUAACAACCUUCCUAUAUAUCAUACGGCACAGUUAGCUAUAGUCACCAUGUUUUACAUUAAAUCCCUUGUAUUUAUUUAUCUCAUAACUAGAAGUUUAUAACUUGUGACUACCUUCCUCCAACUUCCCAUCCUCUGACUUUUUGCCUCUGAUAACCACAAGUCUGAUCUCUUUAUUCAGAGGUUUUGUUUGACUUUUUAGAUUCCACAUAUAAGUGAUAUUAUACAGUAUUUGUCUUCCUCUAACUUAUUUUACUUAACAUAAUGUCUUCAGGUCAAUCCACACUGUUGCAAAUGAUAGGAUUUCUUAAUUUUAUGUUUGAAUAAUAUUCCACACACACAUACACACACAUUGGAAUAUAUAGCUUUAUUAUAUGUUUUCUUCUUCACAUAUAAAUAUAUAUAUUAUCAUUAAUUUUUUUCUUCCACUAACUUUGGGCUCAAUUUUUUUCUUCUCUUCAUUUAUAUCCUCAGAUUCAGGAUGCUUAGCCAUUACCGCCUUAAAUAUAUUUUCUGUCCUUUGUCUUUCUUUUAUCCUUCUGGAAUUCCUAUAGGGAGAAUGUUGUUUCUUUUCAUUGUGUUCUGUAAUUCCUGAAGGCUUUCUUCACUCCUUCUUAUUCUUUUUUUUUCUCCUGUGACUAGGUAAUUUCCAAUGUCCUAUCUUUCCAGUUGCUGACUUUUCUCUAUGCUGCAUAGUUAAGCCUAUUUUUGAAACUACUGAAUUAUUCAGUACAGUUAUUUAUUUUAAUAUCUGUUUUAUUUUUUAUUAAUGGUUGCUAUCUCCUGUCAAACUUCUCAUUUUGUCCAUGUAAUAUUUUCCUAAUUUUGCUUUGUUAGCUGUGUUUUCUUGAGGUUUGUUAAACUUCCUUAAGAGGAUUACUCUGAAUUUUUUAUCUGACCUUUCAUUGAUCUUCAUUUCUUCAUAAUUAGUUGUUGGAGAUUUAUUACUUUACUUUUGUGUCAUAUUUACCCAUUUUUUUAUUAUUAUUAUCCUUGACUCUUUAUGUUGGUGUCUGUGCAUUUGAGUAAUUAGGCUUCUCUUCCAGACUUUACAAGUUUGAUUUUGCAGCUCUUCACCAGUCAGCUCAGUUAGAGUUUUUGAGUGUAUCUGAUGGUAGUAUCCUUGAGUAGGUGGGGCCUGCUAUUAUAGUCUAUUUGGGGGCAAGUUACUGUUUGAACUCUGAGAACAGAAAUGAGGAGGUGUCCCACUGGCUGAGAACAGUUGGAUAGGACUUCUGGCUUGGUUCUCUGCCAAGUUGAGGCUGUAGGAUGAGAGCUCUGAGCUCUGUGGUUGCCUGGACUCUACUGUCAGACUUAUUAGAUGGUCAGGACUGGGUACUAUAUUCAGUAGUAGAUUGGGCUGUGAAUUAUCUUCCCUGCCCUUGCAGGGCAGUAGGAUGAGACCCAGGGCCUGUACAGCUCAUUGUUGGAUUCUUGAAUCAGGCCUGAGUGUUCACUGAAUUCUCUGGUCAAGUGAGGCCCUGGUUUUGCUAUUCAGGUGAGGGAAGCCAUCAGCUGUGCUCUUGGUUCAAGUACCACUGUACAUUGAGCUACUGAAUGAGCUCUGCAGCUAUGCCUCUUUUCUGCUUAGAUUCCCAGCUUGAAUAGGCUGAAGGAUGGGCCAUAUUGAGCAAUGAAGAGCACUAUGAAUUGGAUUCCUCGACUGGUCAUAGAGAGAGAAGCAGCCCCAAAGCUCUCUGUUGUCUUGAGCUUACCUGCACUCCAAGUUCCCUGAAUGAACAGGGCCACUAGUUUUGCUCAGCAAACUAUCAUCUCUACCUCUUUGCUUGAGUGCCACUGGGCCACAUAGCCUCCAGGAGUUUCUGCCAGCCCUUCUUGUCAGGUGGGGCCAGAACAUACUCUCCACUUCUGGUAGAGUUAUGGGGAGAAUUGGGAGGGGCCACUCCAGGGUACUUUCAAUUUCUCAAAUGGACUCCUCGCUCAGGAGAGGCUGGGAAAAACCCUGUGUUAUCUAUGAAUUAAUUCCCCUACAUGUGCAUAGCACAGGGAUGCUCCAUAUCCAGUACUGGCUUUUCUCUCAGGGCAAUCUGUCUGCCUUCCUCUUGGUUUGAGCACUGCUGGACCACAUGGCUUCCAAGAGUUGUCACUAGCACAACUUCUGUUCAGAAGGAGCAGGAAGACACUCUCCAUAGCAGGUAGGGCUGUGAUUCAGCUUCUUACCUGGGCUUGAGUAAACUUAGAUCUAGGGCUGGCAAAAAUCCUUGCUUGAGGGUUCAAAUUAGGCCAUCAGCACCCUGCUGGGUUUCUUGGUCAGAGUGGUUCUGCAGAGAAGCAAAUUGCUGAAUAGGAUCACCACUUGGGCACUGUAGGUAUGAACUGCUGCCAAGAUCCAUGUACUAGUUGUUGCAGGCCCCUCCCCUUCUCUGUCUUAGUCAGACUAGCAGUGGUUGAGCCCCACAUAUUCCCCUGAAAUGCCUGUGGUGAGAGAUUGGAGUAGGGACUACUGCAAAGCAGCCCACAAUCCUGGAGCAGGAGGACUGGCAGUCCCCCAUAUUCUCUUUCACCACUGGAGGAAUCAGAGGCUCAAGGGAGACCUCCCUCUGGUGUUGCAGUGACCUGGGGGCGGGGCAAUGUGGUCAGUGUAUAGCUGCUUCUCUUACCUUUCUAAUGAAAUCUGUCUUGGCCUCUGUGAUGCAAGGGGUUGCUUCAAGUUCUGGGAUCCUCUAGGUUGCAUCUUGUUCUUCAAUUGUUGUUAGUCGUUAGUUCUUCUUCUGAGGGAGAGACAAGUCAGGAGCAAUGUCUGCUGACAUCUUUGUGAUGUCACCCCUUUGUGAGAUUUUACAAAUGUAAAUAAUGUUUUAAAUACACAAUUAUGUGCAAAAAUGGGCAGAAAAAAAUUGCAAAUUCCUUUGGAAUCCUGAGUAUGGAGGUGAAAGGGAACUGGCACAGUCAAAGAAAGAUUCGAGGAGUAAAAUUUAACCUGGUCCUCAAAGACUGGUUAAGAUUUGAAUAGAUAAGGAAAUUGUGAGCAUCACUCUCAUUAAAAAGAAUUGCUCUUUACAAUUCCUACUUACUGUCUGGAAAAAGCAAGUCUCACCAAGAAGCUCUAAAAUGACAGCAGAGGAUAAGAAAAUGAUGUUCUCUCUACUAAGGACCUUUUCUUCCAGAAAGGAACUAUGUCUUUUGAUACUUUGCUUAGAAAAAAGGGAAGGUUAGAUGAGUUUCAUUAAAAAUAAAAAUAGGAGUUCCCAUUGUGGCACAGCAGAAAUGAAUCCGACUAGGAACCAUGAGGUUGCAGGUUUGAUCCCUGGCCUCGCUCAGUGGGUUAAGGAUCCAGCAUUGCCACGAGUUGUGGUGUAGGUCACAAAUGCGGCUCAGAUCUGGCAUUGCUGUGGCUGUGGCGUAGGCCGGCGGCUACAGCUCCUAUUAGACCCCUAGCCUGGGAACCUCCAUGUACCAUGG
rnacentral:lncRNA from 1 species